UACGUAGGGUGCAAGCGUUUAAUCGGAUUUACUGGGCGUAAAGGGCGCGUAGGCGGCAAUUCAAGUCAUCUGUGAAAUCUCCGGGCUUAACCCGGAACGGUCAGAUGAUACUGCUUUACUAGAGUGCGGAAGGGGCAAUCGGAAUUCUCGGUGUAGCGGUGAAAUGCGUAGAUAUCGAGAGGAACACCUGAGGUGAAGACGGGUUGCUGGGCCGACACUGACGCUGACAGCGCGAAAGCCAGGGGAGCAAACGGG
rnacentral:rRNA from 1 species